rnacentral:tRNA from 1 species
GCCCUGGUAGUUCAAAGGAUAGAACAAGUGUCUACUAAACACUAGGUCGCAGUUCGACUCCGCGCCAGGGCA